AGUAUUUGUCAGUGUUUUGAUUUAUGUUGCCAAAUUAAUUUUUAGAAAGAGUAUCUGUUGACAUUGCCGCUGACGACACAGGAGGGGUUUUGCUCUGCACCCUCGGCAGUGCUGUUGUCACAAUUUGCAGGCAGUCAGGUUGACCGUCUCCAGUUACCUUCCCAACCUCUGCGCUGAUGGCGGGCUGUGAACCGGCUCUGGUCGCUGAGUGAAGGAAGCGGCUUCCUCCUUAUUCUGGUGUUUGUUUGCGUCCGUUUCCGGAAGGGUGCACGUGGCCCGGGAAAGCUGAGGGACCCCGUGCGCCAGGCACCUCCGCUGUGGGCCCGGGACGCUCCGCUGAAGCGUCGCCAGGGUCAGUGACGCGCAUGCGCGCGGGCGUCUCCGGAGUGGCCGCGUCUCCGGACAACACUGGUCACCCAGCUGCCCGCGAGGAGAGGCCUGCGUGCCCUUCCCGGCCCAGGGCUGUGUCUCCUCCCCUGGAGUCCGGGUUUCCGGGGCCUUCGUGGAGCUCGGCCCUCCUUGCCGGCCAACGUAAAAUUUACUUGUGGUGAGGCUGGGGGCCUUGGGCUCUCCCGACUGAUGCCAAACCGACUUCAGCUUCACGAAGUGGUGGCCACCGGUGGCGUCGGGAACCGUCCAGGCCGUGGCUGGGCCUUUGCCGGGAGUCUGGCAUCUGAGACCGGCGAGUUUCCGGGAUCGCUCUCCCCACUGUGUUUCCGGCCACAGCGGCACCGGGCUGCGGGCACGGGCUCCGAGAUCAAGUGGCCGCGUCGGCGGCAGAGCUGGGGAGGACAGGGAGGGACGCGUGGGCCCCGGGCUCGUGGCUCAUCAGGCCCGAGAGAAGAGUUCAGACCUGGUCCGAGUGACAGGGCACGGGGAACCCUGCCGGAUGCCCCUCAGCUCCUCCCGGCUCUGCUCGGCAUCAGCCUCCGGCCCUGUGUACACUGCAGUGGUCUUGAACCUCAGGCCUAGCAGGAGCACAGCUGGGCGCGGCUGGGCGGGAAGCACAGCCACGUCUCCUGGCCUCAGCUUGCAUUUCUUAACGUCGCUACUUUUUUGGGCCAUACCUGGAACAUUCCCUUACUAUGUCUAAAAAUUGAUAUACAUUUG